GAUGAACGCUGGCGGCGUGCCUAAUACAUGCAAGUCGAGCGAACAGACGAGGAGCUUGCUCCUCUGACGUUAGCGGCGGACGGGUGAGUAACACGUGGAUAACCUACCUAUAAGACUGGGAUAACUUCGGGAAACCGGAGCUAAUACCGGAUAAUAUAUUGAACCGCAUGGUUCAAUAGUGAAAGACGGUUUUGCUGUCACUUAUAGAUGGAUCCGCGCCGCAUUAGCUAGUUGGUAAGGUAACGGCUUACCAAGGCGACGAUGCGUAGCCGACCUGAGAGGGUGAUCGGCCACACUGGAACGGAGACACGGUCCAGACUCCUACGGGAGGCAGCAGUAGGGAAUCUUCCGCAAUGGGCGAAAGCCUGACGGAGCAACGCCGCGUGAGUGAUGAAGGUCUUCGGAUCGUAAAACUCUGUUAUUAGGGAAGAACAAAUGUGUAAGUAACUAUGCACGUCUUGACGGUACCUAAUCAGAAAGCCACGGCUAACUACGU
rnacentral:rRNA from 1 species